rnacentral:rRNA from 1 species
CCUACGGGAGGCAGCAGUGGGGAAUAUUGCACAAUGGGGGGAACCCUGAUGCAGCGACGCCGCGUGGGUGAAGGAGUAUUUCGGUAUGUAAAGCCCUAUCAGCAGGGAAGAACAAUGACGGUACCUGACUAAGAAGCACCGGCUAAAUACGUGCCAGCAGCCGCGGUAAUACGUAUGGUGCAAGCGUUAUCCGGAUUUACUGGGUGUAAAGGGAGCGCAGGCGGCGCGUUAAGCCUGGUGUGAAAGCCCGGGGCCCAACCGCGGGACUGCAUUGGGAACUGGCGCGCUGGAGUGCCGGAGGGGUAGGCGGAAUUCCUAGUGUAGCGGUGAAAUGCGUAGAGAUUAGGAGGAACACCAGUGGCGAAGGCGGCCUACUGGACGGUGACUGACGCUGAGGCUCGAAAGCGUGGGGAGCAAACAGGAUUAGAUACCCCUGUAGUC